UCCUACGGGAGGCAGCAGUGGGGAAUAUUGCACAAUGGGGGAAACCCUGAUGCAGCGACGCCGCGUGGAGGAAGAAGGUCUUCGGAUUGUAAACUCCUGUUGUUGGGGAAGAUAAUGACGGUACCCAACAAGGAAGUGACGGCUAACUACGUGCCAGCAGCCGCGGUAAAACGUAGGUCACAAGCGUUGUCCGGAAUUACUGGGUGUAAAGGGAGCGCAGGCGGGAAGACAAGUUGGAAGUGAAAUCUAUGGGCUCAACCCAUAAACUGCUUUCAAAACUGUUUUUCUUGAGUAGUGCAGAGGUAGGCGGAAUUCCCGGUGUAGCGGUGGAAUGCGUAGAUAUCGGGAGGAACACCAGUGGCGAAGGCGGCCUACUGGGCACCAACUGACGCUGAGGCUCGAAAGUGUGGGUAGCAAACAGGAUUAGAUACCCUGGUAGUCCACACCGUAAACGAUGAUUACUAGGUGUUGGAGGAUUGACCCCUUCAGUGCCGCAGUUAACACAAUAAGUAAUCCACCA
rnacentral:rRNA from 1 species